rnacentral:rRNA from 1 species
ACUCCUACGGGAGGCAGCAGUGGGGAAUAUUGGACAAUGGGCGCAAGCCUGAUCCAGCCAUGCCGCGUGAGUGAUGAAGGCCCUAGGGUUGUAAAGCUCUUUCACCGGUGAAGAUAAUGACGGUAACCGGAGAAGAAGCCCCGGCUAACUUCGUGCCAGCAGCCGCGGUAAUACGAAGGGGGCUAGCGUUGUUCGGAUUUACUGGGCGUAAAGCGCACGUAGGCGGACUAUUAAGUCAGGGGUGAAAUCCCGGGGCUCAACCCCGGAACUGCCUUUGAUACUGGUAGUCUUGAGUUCGAGAGAGGUGAGUGGAAUUCCGAGUGUAGAGGUGAAAUUCGUAGAUAUUCGGAGGAACACCAGUGGCGAAGGCGGCUCACUGGCUCGAUACUGACGCUGAGGUGCGAAAGCGUGGGGAGCAAACAGGAUUAGAUACCCCGGUAGUCCC